CCGACGGCACGGAUACGCGCACUCCAGAUUCCGUCCUCUGUUAGACAUGGCGGCGGAUCUAAACCCAGACUGGCUCUCUUGCCUGCCUUCUUCUUGGAGUUAUGGGGUUACUCGGGACGGAAGGAUAUUCUUCUUCAAUGAAGAAGCCAAGAGUACGACCUGGCUGCAUCCCGUCACCGGAGAGGCCGUCAUAACGGGGCACAGAAAAACCCCAGAUUUACCAACGGGAUGGGAGGAGGGAUAUACGUUCGAAGGAGCCCGCUGCUUCAUCAAUCACAAUGAGCGGAAGGUGACCUGUAAGCAUCCAGUCUCUGGUCUUCCUUCACAAGACAACUGCAUCUUUGUCGUCAACGAACACGUGACUUCUGCAAAGCUUGUCCACCCCGUUACAGAUCCUGGUACGGCCAACCCUGUUACGGCCAACCCUGUUACGGCCAACCCUGUUACGGCCAACCCUGUUACGGCCAACCCGGUUACAGACCCUAUUACAGACCCUGUAUCAAACAGGCCAAAGGCUCCAGAGCAGGCUCCAUCAGAGGAGAGUGACAGAGUGAAGAAGGAGCGCCCGGUGAGCACCAUGAGCGAGGCGUCUAACUUCACAGGAGGGUCAGACUACAGCACCUACCCUGGCAGCAGCCCCGCCACACGGCCUUCGAGGUCUUACAAAAAGGUCCACAACUUUGGCAAGAGGUCCAACUCUAUUAAGAGGAACCCCAAUGCCCCGGCGGUCAAGAGCAACUGGCUUUACAAACAGGACAGCACGGGGAUGAAGCUAUGGAAGAAGAGGUGGUUUGUGCUGUCUGACAUGUGCCUGUUUUACUAUAGAGAUGAGAAGGAGGAGGGCAUCCUGGGUAGUAUCCUGCUGCCCAGCUUCCAUAUCUCCAUGCUGUCUGUCGACGACCACAUCAGCAGGAAAUACGCCUUCAAGGCGACCCACUCCAACAUGAGGACCUACUACUUCUGCACAGACACGGCCAAAGACAUGGAGUCCUGGAUGAAAGUGAUGACGGACGCAGCCCUGGUCCACACAGAGCCAAUCAGAAGACUGGAUAAGUUGAAGGUGGACCGCUGCUGUCCCCAGGAGGUGAACAACAUCCUGAACCACAACCGGGUCCUGACCAGGCCAGAGAUCCAGAACAACGAGAGGAACCGUGAGCCGCACCAGCCCUCCCUCACCCGCAGCAUGGACCACACGGACGGGGACAGGAAGCACAACACCCUCCAGAGAGAGAGGGAACGCUACACGCUGCAGAGAGACGGCGAGAGAUACUCCCUUCAGAAAGAUGGGGUGAGCUACACGCUACAGAGAGACGGAGAGAGGUACCUGUUGCAGAAAGACGGCGAGCGGUACGCCCUGCAAAAAGAUGGGGAGCGGUAUUCCUUGCAGAAAGACGGAGGCGAACGAUGUGCUGUGCAGAAAGAUGUUCAGAUGGAGAAGUACGCACCUCAGAAAGACGGGGAGAAGUACUUGGUACAGAAAGAUGGAGAGAGAUAUGCACUGCAAAAAGGAGAGCGAUACACCCUCCAAAAAGAUGGACAGAAAUACAACCUCCAGAAAGGGGUAGAGAGACAAACGUCUAUGACUGAGAAAGAUCGGUCAGAUCGUUAUGGGACCCUUGAUGAAAGGCAGAAGUAUAAAACCCUACGGGAAGGAAGUAAGUGUGGUACCCUGAGGGAUGGAGAUAAGUAUGGGACGCUCGAUAAGUAUGGUACCCUUAGGGAAGUGGAUAAGUAUGGAACCCUCCGUGAAGGGAACAAGUAUGGAUUCCAGAGGGAUGGCAGUACUGAGAGGCCUCUGACUAAAAUCAACAGCAUCAAACUCCAACCAGCCCAGGCAGCAGCCAUCGCAGCAGCAGUUACAGCCUCCCGCCAGGUACAGGUCUCCCAGCACAUGGCCCCACCACAGGUCAACGGCUCUGGGGAGCGGGCUGGGGACCACAGCCCAGGGGAGGUGGUAGGCACCCUGGGGAGAGGAGCAGGAAAGGCCCAGGACCCGCCUCCGAACCAGACCCAGAACCAGCAGGCCCAGGAGCCAGAGAAGAGUCUGACCAGAACCAACUCCAUGAGGCAGCUGGAGAACUGGGUUAGGACCCAGAGGACACAAGAGGAGGACGAUACCAGGAGCAUCACCUCCUACCAGACCUUACCCCGCAACAUGCCCAGCCACCGUGCCCAGAUCGUUCCCCGCUACCCUGAGGGCUACCGUACCCUCCCCAGGAACAUGCUGUCCCGACCUGAGAGCAUCUGCAGCGUGGCCGGCUCCGUCUACGACCGCGCCCUGGCUCCCACGUCCAACUCAGACAAGAGGCGCUCCAUGAGGGACGACACCAUGUGGCAGCUGUAUGAGUGGCAGCAGAGGCAGGCCUUCUCCAGGCAGGGCCCACCACCACCAGGCCACUACGGGACCCUGCCCAGCCCCAAGACCAUGGGGAACAUCUCUGUGCACCAGGGGGUGGCCCACUCCAUCCCCACAUCCCCCUCCCAUGGAUCCCUGGCCCUCUACCAUACCUUCUCCCCUCCGGGCCAGCACCGCAGAGACAACCCACCAGGAUCAACCAGGUCCGAGGUGUCCUCACCCGUCUUCAGAGGGGACCAGACUAUGACUAUAGACCGCAGGCACAGGACUCACCUCACCAAGUAUAACUACCCACCUGACCGCCGGUCCAUGCCAGCAGGCAUCCCAGUGCAGACCAUUACCCCACAGUCACUACAGGGCAAGACGCCAGAGGAGCUGACCCUGCUGUUAAUAAAGCUGCGUCGGCAGCAGGCUGAGCUCAACAGCAUCCGGGAGCACACUGUGGCUCAGCUAAUGAUCCUUAGCAUGGAGGGGCCCAACGCCAAGAGUGAGGUCCUGUCUCAUCACCUUCAGAGGAACCUCAUGUAUCUGGACAGCCAGACGAAGGACAAUGAGCCGUUAAUCUUCAUGAUUCACACUAUGAUUGAGAACUCUGCUCCAAGGCCUCAACUGUACCAGCAAAUCAGCCCCGAGGACUACAAAGACAACUCCUACAGCCACCAGAGGCCAGAGGACAUAGACACUAAGCUGAGCAGACUAUGUGAGCAGGACCAAGUGGUGAGAACACAGGAGGAGAAACUACAGCAACUACACAGAGAGAAGCACACCCUGGAGACAGCUUUGCUGUCUGCCAGUCAGGAGAUAGAGCAGAGCUCUGACAACCCAGCAGCUGUACAGAGCCUUAUACAGCAGAGAGACGUACUGCAGAAUGGACUGCUCAGUACCUGUAGAGAACUGGCACGGGUCAACACUGAGUUGGAGCGGUCGUGGAGGGAGUAUGAUAAAAUGGAGUCUGGCGUCUCUCUGGCCAAAACCAACCUGUUGGAACAGCUAGAGGCCCUGGGCAGCCCACAGACGGAACCUCCCAGCCAGCAGCAUGUCCACAUCCAGAAGGAGCUGUGGAGGAUCCAGGAUGUGAUGGAGGUUCUGGCCAAGAACAAACCCCAGAGGACCACUGACACUGGUUUCCUUGGUUCCAAACCCAUCUCAAACCUACAGAAGAACGAGCCGGUGACCUUGUUCCGGUCACUCUGUCCUCUCACGGAGGGGGACCGUCAGCCCCCCCGCCCGCCCCUCCCCCAGUCCUACGGCUCAACAGAGCGCCCUCCCGCUGUACCCCCCCUUCCCUCCCCCUCGGGCACCCGUCCGCCACCACACACAAGCAAGCACGGCCAGAGGAACGGAACACACAGCAGUCAAGGCCCAGACUACCGUCUGUAUAAGAGUGAGCCAGAGCUGACCACUGUAGCUGAGGAGGUGGACGAUAACAACGGAGAGGACAAUGACAAGGACAGACUACAGACAGGGCUGACCACUGACAAGGAGCCUGCGGCCACUAAAGUCCCAUUAGGACUACCAGUCUACCCAGUGGGUAUCGUGCCCCCCAGGACCAAAUCCCCCAUGAUCCCCCCAGAGUCCUGCACCAUCGCCUCCUACGUCACCCUGAGGAAGAGCAAGAAGUCUGACCCCAGGACUGACCGUCCUCACAGUGCGGUGGAGCAGACUUGCGGACCGGGGGAGAGGGAGAGCGGCAGAGCCAGGAUGAGUGUAGAGGAGCAGCUGGAGAGGAUCAGGAGACACCAGCAGGCCUCACUCAAGGAGAAGAAGAGAAGUAGCAGCAGUAUUUCCCCCUCACGCUCUCCAUCCUUCUCCAAGGAGAACCCCUUCAUUACACAGGUCAGGCGAGAGGUGGUGUUCUCCAGAGGCACCCAGGAGCUGGAGGCAGCACUGCAAGACCUGGAGGAGGUCAGAGACCGAGUUACAGAGCAGCUGGAGAGGGACAGAACUGCAGCCGUGGAGCUGGAAAGAGACCGAGGUGCAGAACUGGAGCUGGAGAGAGACAGAGCUGCAGCAGCUGCUGAAGAAGAAAUGGAGAGGGGUCGAGCUGCAAUAGAAAAGCUGGAGCGAGACAUGACUGAGGUGGCUGCAGUGGUGGAGCAGGAGAUGGCCAGGACUGCUGUGGCUGUAGAAGAGGAGUUGGACAGGGCUGCAGAAUUGGAGCUGGAGAGAGACCGGGCCGCAGUAGCAGCAGCUGCAGAAGAAUUGGAGAGGGCUAGAGCUGCAGCUGAAGAACUAGUCAGAGGGAGGACGGCAGUGUCUCCAGAAGAGGCGCUGGAUAUUGACACGGCUGCAGUGGUGGAGUUGGAGAUGGAAAUCACUGUGGUGGAGGAGAUCAGCUACAGAGCUGAGGAGGUGGAUGUCAUCCCUGUCCCCAGGCUGAGUGAGGAGGAGCCACAGCCCCGGACGGAGAGCUCCAACAUGGACACAGAGGUGUCAGAGACCCAGAUGAUGGUGAUAUCAGAUCAGGGUGUGAAGCCCUUGUAUGUACAGUACCUGAUCCCUGGACAACAUCAACAGCAGGGGGAGAGGGAGACAGAGAGGAGAAACACCCACACUCCCAACACCCUCAUUCCCCACAACAGAUCAGAUACUACCUCAUUAAGGGCAGAAAAGAAGGAUGGAUUUUGUAAGUAUUGGAGUAAGGCCUGAAUGUGAAGGUGUGACUGUGCCAGUUUGCCAGCUGCUGUGUCAGAAGCACUGACUCCUGAACCUGAGGAGGACGUGAUGCAGAGUGAGGCGAUGCGAGGGGAGGCCCCGGAGCAUGAGACCCAGGGGAACAACAUUGACAUAUCCUAUGAACUACCAGCAGAGGGAGCUAAACUCAACAACCUGAUGGCAGGUUUGAGAACACAGUCAGAAAUCGCUUUGUUAAUGAUGAUUGGUUGAUGGAUUGAUAUAUAACUGAUAAAUGUCAAAGCACUUACGUAUAGUACAAGUCAAAAGUUUGGACACCUACUCAUUCAAGGGUUUUUCUUUAUUUGUACUAUUUUCUACAUUGUAGAAUAAUAGUGAAGAGAUCAAAAAUAUGAAAUAACACAUGGAAUCAUGUAGUAACCAAAAAAAGUGUUAAAUAAAUCCAAAUAUAUUUGAGGUGAUUCAAAGUAGCCAACUUCUGCCUUGAUGACAGCUUUGCACACUCUUGGAAUUCUCUCAACCAGCUUCAUAAGAAAUGCUUUUCCAACAGUCUUGCUGAGCAGUUGUUGGCUACUUUCCUUUCACUCUGCGGUCCAACUCAUCCCAAAUCAUCUCAAUUGGGUUGAGGUCGGAUGACUGUGGAGACCAGGUCAUCUGAUGCAGCACUCCAUCCCUCUCCUUCUUGGUCAAAAAGCCCUUACACAGCCUGGAGGUGUGUUGGGUCAUUGUCUUGUUGAAAAACAAAUGAUAGUCCCACUAAGCACAAACCAGAUGAGAUGGUGUAUCAUUGCAGAAUGCUGUGGUAGCCAUGCUGGUUAAGUGUACCUUGAAUUCUAAAUAAAUCAUAGACCGUGUCACCAGCAAAGCACCAUCACACCUCCUCCUCCAUGCUUCACGGUGGGAACCACACAUGCGGAGAUCAUCCAUUCACCUACUCUGCGUCUCACGAAGACACGGCGGUUGGAACCAAAAAUCUCAAAUUUGGACUCAUCAAACCAAAGGACACAUUUCCACCGGUCUAAUGUCCAUUGCUUGUGUUUCUUGGUCCAAUCAAGUCUCUUCUUAUUGGUGUCCUUGAAUGAGUAGGUGUCCAAACUUUUGACUGGUACUGUAUGUGUUGUGGGUUUGCCCCGUGUGUGUUUGCAGUGAAAAGCCUGCCCUGUCCGCCCCAGUCCUCCUCUCCUUCUCCUCCUCAACUCACUGACGGAUCCCACUUCAUGUGUGUGUAGACGUGUCGAGGAGGUGGUUAUGUGAACUCAACUACACUCACCCAGACAUUGACCUUUGUGAGCAGUGACUCAUAAGCGAUGCCAGUCUGAAGAUCCAAGAUGGCAUCCUACAGAGCCAAGAUGGCACCAGUCAGCCUGCACAGAGCAUGCCCAGUAGCUCUCUGUGUGUGUACAGUAGAAACGACUGUAGCCAGACAGACAGAAAGAGUAGAUCCACAGGCCUGCUCGUAUUACUUACUGCCUGCCUACACACUAACUGCGAUACAAAACUCUCUCAUUCACACAGAGAUCUCAGAGGACAAGAUAGUAUUACAGGGUGAUAAUUGAUUAUUAUUACAGGUAUUAUGAUGGUCUGUUAUUUUGGACAUGUUCUGUGAGGAUGCGUUGGGUGUCUAUGAGCUGAGCACUGCUGUAACGAGGAGGGGACUGUACAGUUGUAAAUAAGAACAUUAGAAGAGUCUCACACUGGGAAGAUCUCAAUUGCAUACUCCUCGCGUCCUGUCUCCUCGUCUCCUUCUCAAAACCCACUGGAGGAGAAGGUCAGAGGGGAGGGACCUCUGGCUUUCUCAUCCAAUGGGUUUUGAGAAGGAGACGAGGACCUGAGGACUCGAGGAGCUAUGGAGAGGGCCAAGCAACAAAUCUACACACACGAAGGCAGUGCUUUACUUUAACCACACAGGGGCGCCAAUAUUCUCUUACGGGUUUUAUUUUUUUUACUGGUUUUACUCCCAUAUACGUUUUUAACCUGAGGCCCUAAAAGUUUAAUUUUCCACAUAUUCUACACUGCACAUUCCCCCAUUUUUCAUACACAUUGUUAAUAUAUAAAUAUAUAAAACAUAUAGAAUGAACUAUCUAUACAAUGGGUUUAUACUUCAAUAAGGUGCCACCAUAUUGCUGCUGAUGGACAGAGUUUAAAUAUUUUAUUAAGGUUGUGUUUAUUUAUGUCGGGAGGAUCGGAAUCUGGUCGCCGCCGACAACCACAUGUGAAUGUCCUGGAUUAGAAUUGAUCUGCUUCUGUUUUUUUCUUUCUUUCUAUGGCUGAGAUAUAUUUAAAGUAAAAUAUAGAUGAAAGAUAAAAAUAGUUUUAUGAGAUUAGGGGUUGUGUGUUAGAUUCUGUCUGGUUGUGUGUUAGAUUCUGUCUGGUUGUGUGGAGUCCUGGACAGAGAGAAGAGAAUAGCACAUGUAUAAGCAAUAAGCAGGCAUUUUGUUCCUCUAGGACUUCAAAUAUAAUGUACAUAAAUGUAAAGUUUCAUUGUGUAAAUGAUGUACACCAUAGAAAGAGCAGAGCAGAAAUUGUAACUGAGGUUAUUAUUAUUAGAGUUAAUAUGCAAAAUGUUCAUAUCUCAUCUGUUUUAUAUCAUGUGAAAUAAAUGUUGAUGUUCUUAA